rnacentral:rRNA from 1 species
CUCGUAGGCGGCCAACUAAGUCAGACGUGAAAUCCCUCGGCUUAACCGGGGAACUGCGUCUGAUACUGGAUGGCUUGAGGUUGGGAGAGGGAUGCGGAAUUCCAGGUGUAGCGGUGAAAUGCGUAGAUAUCUGGAGGAACACCGGUGGCGAAGGCGGGCAUCCUGGACCAAUUCUGACGCUGAGGAGCGAAAGCCAGGGGGAGCAAAACCGG